GGCGGCGUGCUUAACACAUGCAAGUCGAGCGGAAAGGCCUUCGGGGUACUCGAGCGGCGAACGGGUGAGUAACACGUGAGUAACCUGCCCCUGACUCUGGGAUAAGCCUGGGAAACCGGGUCUAAUACCGGAUACGACCAUUUCUCGCAUGGGAUGGUGGUGGAAAGUUUUUUCGGUUGGGGAUGGGCUCGCGGCCUAUCAGCUUGUUGGUGGGGUGAUGGCCUACCAAGGCGACGACGGGUAGCCGGCCUGAGAGGGCGACCGGCCACACUGGGACUGAGACACGGCCCAGACUCCUACGGGAGGCAGCAGUGGGGAAUAUUGCGCAAUGGGCGGAAGCCUGACGCAGCGACGCCGCGUGGGGGAUGACGGCCUUCGGGUUGUAAACCUCUUUCAGCAGGGACGAAGUUGACGUGUACCUGUAGAAGAAGCGCCGGCUAACUACGUGCCAGCAGCCGCGGUAAUACGUAGGGCGCGAGCGUUGUCCGGAAUUAUUGGGCGUAAAGAGCUCGUAGGUGGCUUGUCGCGUCUGCCGUGAAAGCCCGUGGCUUAACUACGGGUCUGCGGUGGAUACGGGCAGGCUAGAGGCUGGUAGGGGCAAGCGGAAUUCCUGGUGUAGCGGUGAAAUGCGCAGAUAUCAGGAGGAACACCGGUGGCGAAGGCGGCUUGCUGGGCCAGUUCUGACGCUGAGGAGCGAAAGCGUGGGGAGCGAACAGGAUUAGAUACCCUGGUAGUCCACGCUGUAAACGUUGGGCGCUAGGUGUGGGGGUCUUCCACGACUUCUGUGCCGUAGCUAACGCAUUAAGCGCCCCGCCUGGGGAGUACGGCCGC
rnacentral:rRNA from 1 species